UGAGGCCAGGCUGGCAGUUCCCUACCAGAAGCCAAGGAGGAGGGAGCUCUCAGCCAUGUUCUGAUAUUGCGGAGAGAGAAAGGAUCCCUGGAACCAAUACCACAUUAUGCUAAGGACUGCACAGACAAACCACAAGUAUAUGGUCUCUGCCACAAGCAGGUCCAACUGGAACCCAAACUAACAUUGCCAUGCAUCCUCCUGUGUUGGUACAUGAGUGAUCCCAACAAUGUGAUUGGGGGCUGACAGGAGAGAAAAGGCUGCAGGAUCAUCACUCCUUCCUUCCACACACAAAUGCAGAAGAAGAAGCUGAGGAACCAGAGCUGAGCUGGUGCUGGAGGAGUUGCAUUACUUCCCACUCACCAGCAAGGAAGCAGCAGGAACAUCUUUAUAAAUCAUACAUCCUUGCCAAGCUGCCUCCUGGGAAGACAAAGCUAUUUCUUAUCAUGAUUGUUUUAAUUUAGAUUAUUUGAAGUUGAAAGUAGGCUGCCAGUGAAGUAAAUGAGAAGCAGAGGAGAAAAUGGUAGGUAGGUAGUGCUCCUGCUCUUUCGUGCAUUUAUGUACCAGAUAAAAGAAAAAAAAAAUCUAAAUGGUAUAGAUAAAGGACACAUCAGAAUAACUUAAAUGAUGAUAAUUCUUGAAUUUUCUUUACAUUUUUUCCACCUGCAAAUUUACUAUGUGUCAGCACUAUCUUGCCCAAGAUAUUAAGAAAAAAAUAAAGUUACCUAUCAACCAUGUCUCAAAGUUGCAAGGGAGAGAGAAACAUUGCCAUAUCCUUGGACCUGCUGUACCAGGAAAUGCUCCUUAUAUUUACAUUGAGUGUAAGCAAUUUAAUUUGCUAAACUUCAAGGAAUUAUGAUGAGACCUCCCCCUAGAGAUCAGAAAUAAGCACAUGGAAGCUCUGAAAAUGGGAGGCAAAAAGUCUUUAUCUCCCUUGUAAGAAACUUUGUUUAAGGAAGACGAGCUCAGUAUUAGCGAUGGUCAAACUUCAAAAGGCCUGGAGUUAAAGAUAAGCUCCCUAAACUUUGGAUGAUUAUCUGAAGCUUAUCUAAACUAUUUGAUCCUCUUAAGACUGCAGAGUUGGGCUAGAAAUCUUGUAUAAGCAGGCUUUCUUGUGAUAGUUUCAGAACUUCCUGUCAGGGUGAAAAUAGGAGAUCAACCUCUCUGGUGGUAUUUUAUCACUUAGCCUGGAUGUAAUACAGAUAGGCAGAGGCAUGAGAAGAUGAAAAGUAUUCAUUUCUGAGAUAUCCAUGUUUAGCUGUCUUAUCAGAAAGCAGGAGUUAUUCAGAGAAUGAAAAGCAGCACAUUCCUGAGUCAGGGCCAGUUCUACCAUCUUUAUUCACGUGCGAGAUCACAUUAUUUAAACUUACCAACAUUCUCUUGGAAAA